rnacentral:lncRNA from 1 species
GUGCCACCGCAGCCUGGGCUGCACAGAAACUGUGUGAUCCAUAAAGUCAAAAUACGCACCAUCCACCCCUGUUGGGCUCUGGUCAAGCAUAUGACAAGGGUCAGCCACUGGGCGCGACAGAACUCGUCCUCGUAGUCCUGUUGACAGGGAAGGGCACGCUCAGAAUCUCAAGGACGGUCAGGAGCCAGCCUCAGGGGCCAGGCCACCAGAGCCACAGCCGGAGCCUUCCGAGGGAUGGCGCCAGACGAGACCCAGUGACAGCCACCCUGGCCCCCCGCAGGUGUGUGCCCUCGGGCUCCUGAACACCAGGGCCUCUGAGGUCGCAGCCCCUGGCUGUGGCCUCCUACCUGCUACACAGAUGCACAGGGACACUGUGGAGGGCUCACGAUGGCCUCGCUCCAGGGCUCUGGGGCAACAGUGCCCAGCAGAGGCGGGCAGGAGGGGAACACGGCCUUGUUUGCUUGUUCUGGUUCAAGUUCACAUUGGCCAUGGUGACGGUGGACCCAAGGCCCAC